rnacentral:rRNA from 1 species
GGUCACCGCUAUUGGGAUUCGAUUAAGCCAUGCGAGUCGAGAGGGUUCGGCCCUCGGCAGACGGCUCAGUAACACGUGGAUAAUCUGCCCUUAGGUGGAGGAUAACCUCGGGAAACUGAGAAUAAUACUCCAUAGAUCUAGGAGGCUGGAAUGCGCCUAGAUUGAAAGCUCCGGCGCCUAAGGAUGAGUCUGCGGACUAUCAGGUUGUAGUUAGGGUAAAGGCCUGACUAGCCUACGACGGAUACGGGUUGUGAGAGCAAUAACCCGGAGACGAUAUCUGAGACACGAUAUCGGGCCCUACGGGGCGCAGCAGGCGCGAAAACUUCACACUGUGCGAAAGCACGAUGAGGGAAUCCCAAGUGCUUGCACGUAAGUGUAAGCUGUUUCUUUGUUUAAAAAGCAAGGAGAGGAAGGGCUGGGUAAGACGGGUGCCAGCCGCCGCGGUAAUACCUGCAGCUCGAGUGGUGACCGCUAUUAUUGGGCCUAAAACAUUCGUAGCCGGCUGAGUAAGUGCUUGGGUAAAUCGUGUAGCUUAACUAUACGAAUUCCGAGUAGACUGCUUAGCUUGAGACCGGGAGAAGCUAGAGGUACUCCUGGGGUAGAGGUGAAAUUCUGUAAUCCUGGGGGGACCACCAGUGGCGAAGGCGUCUAGCUAGAACGGGUCUGACGGUGAGGAAUGAAACCCUGGGGCGCAAACCGGAUUAGAUACCCGGGUAGUCCAGGGCGCAAACGCUGCUUGCUUGAUGUUAGUCGGGCUCCGAGCUCGACUAGUGUCGGAGAGAAGUUGUUAAGCAAGCUGCCUGGGAAGUACGAUCGCAAGAUUGAAACUUAA